rnacentral:rRNA from 1 species
CGCUGGCGGCGUGCUUAACACAUGCAAGUCGAACGGAAAGGCCCUGCUUUUGUGGGGUGCUCGAGUGGCGAACGGGUGAGUAACACGUGAGUAACCUGCCCUUGACUUUGGGAUAACUUCAGGGAACUGGGGCUAAUACCGGAUAGGAGCUCCUGCUGCAUGGUGGGGGUUGGAAAGUUUCGGCGGUUGGGGAUGGACUCGCGGCUUAUCAGCUUGUUGGUGGGGUAGUGGCUUACCAAGGCUUUGACGGGUAGCCGGCCUGAGAGGGUGACCGGCCACAUUGGGACUGAGAUACGGCCCAGACUCCUACGGGAGGCAGCAGUGGGGAAUAUUGCACAAUGGGCGGAAGCCUGAUGCAGCAACGCCGCGUGCGGGAUGACGGCCUUCGGGUUGUAAACCGCUUUCGCCUGUGACGAAGCGUGAGUGACGGUAAUGGGUAAAGAAGCACCGGCUAACUACGUGCCAGCAGCCGCGGUGAUACGUAGGGUGCGAGCGUUGUCCGGAUUUAUUGGGCGUAAAGGGCUCGUAGGUGGUUGAUCGCGUCGGAAGUGUAAUCUUGGGGCUUAACCCUGAGCGUGCUUUCGAUACGGGUUGACUUGAGGAAGGUAGGGGAGAAUGGAAUUCCUGGUGGAGCGGUGGAAUGCGCAGAUAUCAGGAGGAACACCAGUGGCGAAGGCGGUUCUCUGGGCCUUUCCUGACGCUGAGGAGCGAAAGCGUGGGGAGCGAACAGGCUUAGAUACCCUGGUAGUCCACGCUGUAAACGGUGGGUACUAGGUGUGGGGUCCAUUCCACGGGUUCCGUGCCGUAGCUAACGCUUUAAGUACCCCGCCUGGGGAGUACGGCCGCAAGGCUAAAACUCAAAGGAAUUGACGGGGCCCCGCACAAGCGGCGGAGCAUGCGGAUUAAUUCGAUGCAACGCGUAGAACCUUACCUGGGUUUGACAUGGAUCGGGAGUGCUCAGAGAUGGGUGUGCCUCUUUUGGGGUCGGUUCACAGGUGGUGCAUGGCUGUCGUCAGCUCGUGUCGUGAGAUGUUGGGUUAAGUCCCGCAACGAGCGCAACCCUUGUUCACUGUUGCCAGCACGUUAUGGUGGGGACUCAGUGGAGACCGCCGGGGUCAACUCGGAGGAAGGUGGGGAUGACGUCAAGUCAUCAUGCCCCUUAUGUCCAGGGCUUCACGCAUGCUACAAUGGCUGGUACAGAGAGUGGCGAGCCUGUGAGGGUGAGCGAAUCUCGGAAAGCCGGUCUCAGUUCGGAUUGGGGUCUGCAACUCGACCUCAUGAAGUCGGAGUCGCUAGUAAUCGCAGAUCAGCAAUGCUGCGGUGAAUACGUUCCCGGGGCUUGUACACACCGCCCGUCAAGUCAUGAAAGUUGGUAACACCCGAAGCCGGUGGCCUAACCGUUGUGGGGGAGCCGUCGAAGGUGGGACUGGUGAUU